rnacentral:rRNA from 1 species
GGAGGAAAAGAAACCAACUGGGAUUACCUUAGUAACGGCGAGUGAAGCGGUAAAAGCUCAAAUUUGAAAUCUGGUACUUUCAGUGCCCGAGUUGUAAUUUGUAGAAUUUGUCUUUGAUUAGGUCCUUGUCUAUGUUCCUUGGAACAGGACGUCAUAGAGGGUGAGAAUCCCGUUUGGCGAGGAUACCUUUUCUCUGUAAGACUUUUUCGAAGAGUCGAGUUGUUUGGGAAUGCAGCUCAAAGUGGGUGGUAAAUUCCAUCUAAAGCUAAAUAUUGGCGAGAGACCGAUAGCGAACAAGUACAGUGAUGGAAAGAUGAAAAGAACUUUGAAAAGAGAGUGAAAAAGUACGUGAAAUUGUUGAAAGGGAAGGGCAUUUGAUCAGACAUGGUGUUUUUUGCAUGCACUCGCCUCUCGUGGGCUUGGGCCUCUCAAAAAUUUCACUGGGCCAACAUCAAUUCUGGCAGCAGGAUAAAUCAUUAAGAAUGUAGCUACUUCGGUAGUGUUAUAGCUUUUUGGAAUACUGUUAGCCGGGAUUGAGGACUGCGCUUCGGCAAGGAUGUUGGCAUAAUGGUUAAAUGCCGCCCGUCUUGACCCACCGAACUCA